GGUUUGCGUGCGUAAAGGAUGGCAGCGGCAUCCUUUUAUGGAGCCCAAGCGGAAUAAAAGAUAUAGCGAACAGCCUGACCUUUU
rnacentral:sRNA from 1 species